AUUGAACGCUGGCGGCAUGCCUUACACAUGCAAAUCGAACGGUAACGGGCCUUCGGGUGCCGACGAGUGGCGAACGGGUGAGUAAUACAUCGGAACGUGCCCGAUCGUGGGGGAUAACGAGGCGAAAGCUUUGCUAAUACCGCAUACGAUCUACGGAUGAAAGCAGGGGACCGCAAGGCCUUGCGCGGACGGAGCGGCCGAUGGCAGAUUAGGUAGUUGGUGGGAUAAAAGCUUACCAAGCCGACGAUCUGUAGCUGGUCUGAGAGGAUGAUCAGCCACACUGGGACUGAGACACGGCCCAGACUCCUACGGGAGGCAGCAGUGGGGAAUUUUGGACAAUGGGCGCAAGCCUGAUCCAGCCAUGCCGCGUGCAGGAUGAAGGCCUUCGGGUUGUAAACUGAUUUUGUACGGAACGAAAAGCCUUCUUUUAAUACAGGAGGGUCAUGACGGUACCGUAAGAAUAAGCACCGACUAACUACGUG
rnacentral:rRNA from 1 species